rnacentral:rRNA from 1 species
AACGAACGCUGGCGGCAUGCCUAACACAUGCAAGUCGAACGAGACCUUCGGGUCUAGUGGCGCACGGGUGCGUAACGCGUGGGAACCUGCCCUUAGGUUCGGAAUAACUCCCCGAAAGGGGUGCUAAUACCGGAUAAUGUCUUCGGACCAAAGAUUUAUCGCCGUUGGAUGGGCCCGCGUUGGAUUAGCUAGUUGGUAGGGUAAAAGCCUACCAAGGCGACGAUCCAUAGCUGGUCUGAGAGGAGGAUCAGCCACACUGGGACUGAGACACGGCCCAGACUCCUACGGGAGGCAGCAGUGGGGAAUAUUGGGCAAGGGGCGAAAGCCUGGUCCAGCCAUGCCGCGGGAGUGAUGAAGGCGUUAGGGUUGUAAAGCUCUUUUACCCGGGAUGAUAAUGACAGUACCGGGAGAAUAAGCACCGGCUAACUCCGUG